UUACAUCAAUUUCAAUAAUGGUUUUUAUAGCGCCUCUUCGCCAGAUGUCAUCUGGGAGUGUUCCUGGCUCUUCUGGAGAGAACAUGAUUUACUAUCUCCUAACUGGUGUUGCUGCUUUUGGUGGUUUAUUUUAUGCCUACAGAGUAGUCACUUCAUCCCGCACCAAGUAUAUUGAACAUCUGAAUAUUCUUCAGGAGAGAGCUGAAGGGCGGAAAAACAAACCUUGGUCAAGCAAGGGUGAUGAAGAAGAGACGGCUGAAGUCACUGAAGCAGAGACAGCCACGGAAGAGGCUGAUGCGGUAGCUGCUGCUGCACCCGCAGCACAGGACGAGAGGGCUGGGGUACCCCCAGAAACUGGAGGGGAGAAUGACUUACCGGCUCCAGAUGCACCCCCUGCUGUGGAGGAAGCACAGCAGGAAGCUGCUGCUAAUUUGGAAGUUGCUGCUAAUUCAGAAGCUGCUGCAGUACAAGAAACUGUGAGUGAAGCCUUGGAUGUUGCAGCUUCUUCUGCCCAGGAGGAAAACUUAGACAGUGUCAAGGAAGGAGUAGACUCAGCAGCUCAAGACAUAUCUGACACACCCUCAAGGAACCAGGACGUUGAUGCUGAGGAGUCGGGACAAGCUCCAGAAGGUGCAGGAGCACAGCUGGUUUCUGUGGAGGAGGAGACACCUGAAGAAGUUGCUAAGGAACCCUAAAGGUACACAGUACAAUUGCAACAUGUGGUUUCCUGCUCUUCACCCUUCUUUUUUUCUCAGUUAGUGGCAGUUGCAGCAUGUGUAAGCAGUGCUGAAGCCUUUGAAAACUUUAAUGGAAAUACUUGUGGCAAUCAUCCAUCUGAUUCCUGUGUGAAACCUCAUACUCUUCCUUGGAGACGUAAAAGAAAUUGUGCAGUUUGUCAUACCACACAGUGCUCAUUAGGACCAGUAUUCAGUGCUGCAACAGACAUCCUAAUAUGAUUUAAGUUGGUUAGAGAGACGCUUCUGUGAUUAACAUCUCUGCUUUAGAAAGUAGCAUUCAGUAAUAACUGUCAGAGCACCAUCCAGCAUGUAAUAGAUACACGUGCUAAGAGAUGCAGUAGACUUAACUGAGACCACGUCAGGCGAACUUGUUCCAGGUCUUUGUUGUCUUGUUAUGUACGUCGAUUUCUUACUUUUGGUCCAAACUGUGGUGCAUAAUUAUACCAUUGUAACAUUCCAUGCUAAAAUGUAAGUAAAAGGUUUUAACUAUGUUAAAAUCUUACACAAAUUACCUGUUAGUAUUUUUAAUUUCUAACAGGUAAUUUAAAUUCUAACAGAGUCACGGAGAAAAUAAUAACCUUGUUUGCUCCCAAGUUUGGAUUUGCAAUUGUAAGCAUAGGACAUCUGGAUGUAUAAGAUCUAAUUUUCCCUGUGCAUAAACAUUUUAGAUGCUACCCUUCCUUGCACAGUAAUAUCCAGGAGUAAACAUUUUUAAGGCUCCUGCUUUGUGAACAAAACCCAUUUGCAAGUAGUAGCAAUAGGUACUUUAUAGCACAAAACCCCAAGUAACACCAGCUGAAGUUAUUAUCAUCAUUGAUCAAAGUGGUGGCUCCUACCUUGGGGCUGCUGGGCCCCAUUCCCACCAAACCUUACUCAGCUUGCUGUAGUCUUUCUGUGUUGUUCUGUCUUAGCAGUGGCAUGCAGCAGUGGCGUAACAACACAGAGGUUUGAGAGACCACUCUUGUACAAAUCACGAGCAAUUUAGGCUAUGGCAAAGCUCCUCUCUGAGCGCUUGCAGGUGGCCAGCAACAUCCCUGUGGAAGGCUAUGCCACAGGUGUUCAAAUGGACAAGGAUUCUUAGGGACUAAUAAAGAACAGAAUAGCUAAAUAAUCUUGUCUUGUUAGUAUUAUCUUAACAAUAAAUGAAUAAUGCUCUCCUAACACUCCACUGUGUGUUGGGCAUGUGCAUGAGUGUGCAUCUACUACGAGACUUUCACUGAGACCCUCACCUGCUAAAAAGCAUUACAGCCAUCACAGAAUGGUGAUCAUUCUAAACCAGAGCCAAAUAAGGUAUAUUAUACACAAUGCAUAUAGAAAGUGUGAAUUAUAAGGUGGAUCUGACCGCUUUCUGUUCAAGGAGAACUUUGGAAAAAUGUUGAAAGGGAAAUUACAGCAUUAUGACAUUCCUACCCAUGGCACAAAGAAACAUGGGCUCCUUCCCCCAUCGUAAAGCAAAUUAUAAUAGUGCUCCAACAAAAAUACAGCCUAUUGCCCCUGUACCUGCUUAGGAAUAACUGGAAUAAUGCAGAGGCAGAGUCAGGCUCCUGAGCUUCAAGAAGCCACACCACAGCCUUCUGCUUAAAGGAUAAAGCCACUGUGAUUAAAAGCAAUUUUUGUAGACAAAGCUGCUGAAAUAAAAGUCUUAGACUGAUA